rnacentral:rRNA from 1 species
GUGGGGAAUAUUGGACAAUGGGGGCAACCCUGAUCCAGCCAUGCCGCGUGAGUGAAGAAGGCCUUCGGGUUGUAAAGCUCUUUCGACGGGGACGAUAAUGACGGUACCCGGAGAAGAAGCCCCGGCUAACUUCGUGCCAGCAGCCGCGGUAAUACGAAGGGGGCUAGCGUUGCUCGGAAUUACUGGGCGUAAAGGGCGCGUAGGCGGACAGUUUAGUCAGAGGUGAAAGCCCAGGGCUCAACCUUGGAAUUGCCUUUGAUACUGGCUGUCUUGAGUACGGGAGAGGUGAGUGGAACUCCGAGUGUAGAGGUGAAAUUCGUAGAUAUUCGGAAGAACACCAGUGGCGAAGGCGACUCACUGGCCCGUUACUGACGCUGAGGCGCGAAAGCGUGGGGAGCAAACAGGAUUAGAAACCCGGGUAGUCC